AGGGUGUAAACGCUGCAGACUUGGUGUUGGAAGUCCUUUGGGGCAUUCAGUGCCGGAGAGAGGUUGUUAAGUCUGCUACUUGGGAGUACGUCCGCAAGGAUGAAACUUAAAGGAAUUGGCGGGGAGCACCGCAACGGGAGGAGCGUGCGGUUUAAUUGGAUUCAACACCGUAAACUCACCAGGGAAGACUGUUACAUGAAGGCCGAGAUGAAGGCUCUGCUAGAUUUUCAGAGAGGUGGUGCAUGGCGUCAGUGA
rnacentral:rRNA from 1 species